rnacentral:rRNA from 1 species
ACGGCCCUAUGGGUUGUAAACUGCUUUUGCGCGGGGAUAACACCCUCCACGUGCUGGGGGUCUGCAGGUACCGCGCGAAUAAGGACCGGCUAAUUCCGUGCCAGCAGCCGCGGUAAUACGGAAGGUCCGGGCGUUAUCCGGAUUUAUUGGGUUUAAAGGGAGCGUAGGCCGUGAGGUAAGCGUGUUGUGAAAUGUAGGCGCCCAACGUCUGCACUGCAGCGCGAACUGCCCCACUUGAGUGCGCGCAACGCCGGCGGAACUCGUCGUGUAGCGGUGAAAUGCUUAGAUAUGACGAAGAACCCCGAUUGCGAAGGCAGCUGGCGGGAGCGUAACUGACGCUGAAGCUCGAAAGCGCGGGUAUCGAACAGGAUUAGAUACCCUGGUAGUCCGCGCGGUAAACGAUGGAUGCCCGCUGUGGCGCGCCUGGCGUGCCGCGGCUAAGCGAAAGCAUUAAGCAUCCCACCUGGGGAGUACGCCGGCAACGGUGAAACUC